rnacentral:rRNA from 1 species
UACGAAGGGGGCUAGCGUUGCUCGGAAUCACUGGGCGUAAAGGGUGCGUAGGCGGGUCUUUAAGUCAGGGGUGAAAUCCUGGAGCUCAACUCCAGAACUGCCUUUGAUACUGAAGAUCUUGAGUUCGGGAGAGGUGAGUGGAACUGCGAGUGUAGAGGUGAAAUUCGUAGAUAUUCGCAAGAACACCAGUGGCGAAGGCGGCUGACUGGUCCGGUUCUGACGCUGAGGCGCGAAAGCGUGGGGAGCAAAGCAGG